rnacentral:rRNA from 1 species
UCGAGAAUCUUCGGCAAUGGACGAAAGUCUGACCGAGCGAUGCCGCGUGCGGGAUGAAGGCCUUCGGGUUGUAAACCGCUGUCAGUUGGGAGGAAGUGCCGAUGAAGAAUCGGCAUUGACCUAUCUUCAGAGGAAGUCCGGGCUAAGUUCGUGCCAGCAGCCGCGGUAACACGAACCGGACAAACGUUAUUCGGAAUUAUUGGGCUUAAAGGGUGCGUAGGCGGCGUAGUAAGUGAGGUGUGAAAGCCCACGGCUCAACCGUGGAAUUGCGCUUCAUACUGCUAUGCUAGAGGGAGACAGAGGUAAGCGGAACUGAUGGUGGAGCGGUGAAAUGCGUUGAUAUCAUCAGGAACACCAGUGGCGAAAGCGGCUUACUGGGUCUCUUCUGACGCUGAGGCACGAAAGCUAGGGUAGCGAACGGGAUUAGAUACCCCCGUAGUCC